AUAGCGUAUAUUAAAGUUGUUGUGGUUAAAAAGCUCGUAGUUGAACCUUGGGCCUGGCUGGCCGGUCCCCCUCACCGGGUGCACUGAUCCAGCCGGGUCUUUCCCGCUGUGGAACCCCAUGGCCUUCACUGGUCGUGGCGGGGAAACAGGACUUUUACUUUGAAAAAAUUAGAGUGUUCCAAGCAGGCUUAUGCUCGAAUACAUUAGCAUGGAAUAAUAAAAUAGGACGGGGGGUUCUAUUUUGUUGUUUUCUAGAGCCGCCGUAAUGAUUAAUAGGGACAGUCGGGGGCAUCAGUAUUCAAUUGUCAGAGGUGAAAUUCUUGGAUCUAUUGAAGACUAACUACUG
rnacentral:rRNA from 1 species